rnacentral:rRNA from 1 species
GGGUCAGUGGGUGGGUCGUGCCACCGGUACGUACUGGUCUCACUGAUUCCUCCUUCCUGAAGAACCGUAAUGCCAUUAAUUUGGUGUUGCGGGGAAGCAGGACUGUUACUUUGAAAAAAUUAGAGUGUUUAAAGCAAGCUAACGCUUGAAUACAUUAGCAUGGAAUAAUGAAAUAGGACGAUCGAUCCUAUUUUGUUGGUUUCUAGGAUUGACGUA